rnacentral:rRNA from 1 species
GACAGAGGGUGCAAACGUUUGUUCGGAAUUACUGGGCGUAAAGCGCGUGUAGGCGGUCGGGCAAGUCGGAUGUGAAAGCCCAGGGCUCAACCCUGGAAGUGCACUCGAUACUGCUCGGCUAGAGUCCCGGAGAGGAUGGUGGAACUCUCGGUGUAGAGGUGAAAUUCGUAGAUAUCGAGAAGAACACCGGUGGCGAAGGCGGCCAUCUGGACGGUGACUGACGCUGAGACGCGAAAGCGUGGGGAGCAAACAGG